rnacentral:tRNA from 1 species
UGGGGCGUCGCCAAGCGGUAAGGCACGGGCCUUUGGAGUCCGCAUUCGGAGGUUCGAAUCCUCCCGCCCCAG